UACGUAGGGCGCAAGCGUUAUCCGGAAUUAUUGGGCGUAAAGAGCUCGUAGGCGGUUUGUCGCGUCUGCCGUGAAAGUCCGGGGCUCAACUCCGGAUCUGCGGUGGGUACGGGCAGACUAGAGUGAUGUAGGGGAGACUGGAAUUCCUGGUGUAGCGGUGAAAUGCGCAGAUAUUAGGAGGAACACCGGUGGCGAAGGCGCCACUCUGGGCCGAAACUGACGCUGAGGAGCGAAAGCGUGGGUAGCAAACAGG
rnacentral:rRNA from 1 species